ensembl:lncRNA
GUAACACAUAACUGUGCUAGAGUGGCUCAGAAAAUCCACCAGGCUUGGCUCCCUUACAGGUGACUGACAGUGAGUGACAGAUGCUGCCACUUACAGUGCUCGUUUGUUACCUUCUGGAUUAUGUUGCAGUAGGUCGUAUGCAAAGAGGUACAACUGCAGCACUCAGGUGAAGCCUCGGCUAAACUUACAGGGUAGAUGUACUGUGCCCAAACCGAGGGCUCGUCUGUCCUCAGGCUGACUGCAGUGAACUGCUGCCCAUCCCAGCACACGCCAAGAGCCCAGACGUAACCACUUCGUACAUUCCCAGUCUCCAGCAACCAGCAGCUCUGGGAUGGAACUGUGUAAAGAUUGCUAGGACAAGCCGAAUGAAAAAGGAACCAAGUGUGCCUGGAAAAUGAAUGGCUAGGAUUCACCAGAAUGAGCUGGAUGAAAAGAGAGGUAAAAAUGCACCACCCUGACGGCCUUAUGAUGGUGACUGAAGGCACAGUUGGACAGAAGCAUUUCCUCUAGGAGACAAAAUUUUCCCUUCCUUCCUCGAGACCUUCAAGUGACCCUACUGAAUUGUUAAAAUCCCAUUAGAAAGUGGUUGGUGGGAACAUGUGCAAUAAAUAGCUGCUAAAAUCAAAGGCAGCCUUGCUGAUACAAAAUCAAUGCGUUGCUGGUGGUGCAGGCAGUGUUCUUCUCUGGGAAAUGCAACAGC